rnacentral:rRNA from 1 species
AGUGAACGCUGGCGGUAGGCCUAACACAUGCAAGUCGAACGGCAGCACAGUAAGAGCUUGCGCUUACGGGUGGCGAGUGGCGGACGGGUGAGGAAUACAUCGGAAUCUACGGUUUCGUGGGGGAUAACGUAGGGAAACUUACGCUAAUACCGCAUACGACCUACGGGUGAAAGCAGGGGAUCUUCGGACCUUGCGCGAUUGAAUGAGCCGAUGUCGGAUUAGCUAGUUGGCGGGGUAAAGGCCCACCAAGGCGACGAUCCGUAGCUGGUCUGAGAGGAUGAUCAGCCACACUGGAACUGAGACACGGUCCAGACUCCUACGGGAGGCAGCAGUGGGGAAUAUUGGACAAUGGGCGCAAGCCUGAUCCAGCCAUACCGCGUGGGUGAAGAAGGCCUUCGGGUUGUAAAGCCCUUUUGUCGGGAACGAAAAGCAGCAGGUUAAUACCCCGCUGUUCUGACGGUACCCAAAGAAUAAGCACCGGCUAACUUCGUG